GCUGGGCAUGGUGGCCCACUCCUGAAAUCCCAGCAAUUUGGGAGGCUGAGGCAGGAGGAUCGCAAAUUCAAGACCAGUCAGCAAAUUUGUGAGACCCUAUCUCAA
rnacentral:sRNA from 1 species